UGUUGAUAGAUACACUGUCACACUGACGCUGAGCAUAAUAUAUAUUGUGUGUGUGCUUUAUUUUUUGUUAUUGUGUUUCCAAUUCUCCAUUUGGUAAUUAAUGAAACAUGUUUUUAUGCAGCAGCAGCAGCAGAAACAACAACAACCAAAGCAGCAGCUGCAACAAUCGACAAAAACAACAACCGCCAUUUGCUGUUUGUGGAAUAAAGCAAUAAUAACAUAGAAAACCAGAGUCAAAGUGUAAAAUUAAUAACAAAACCAGCGGCAUCAUAAGAACAGCAGCAGAAGCAGCAACAACAACAGCAGCAUUCAGUCGAAAAGCAACUCCUUUAAGAGCUCUCUCACUCUCUCUCUGUGGACCACCAACAGCUGUCUGAUUUUCAAAUGAUUAUUAUGCGGAGGGGGUAAAAAAAACAACAGACAGCAGCCACCAGCACUGUGGAACGUGAAAGCAACGGGAUUACAGUGGAAUAGAAAGAAGGAUUAUUAUUAACAGCUGCUGCACAGUGGAACCAGAAAACCGAGGAUUACAAUGGGAAAACCAGAAAUGAAAUUAAAAUCCCACGAAAAAGGCAACAAAAUUUUAACAACAUUUAAAUUCCCCGCCCGAAAAAUCGUGUCAUUAGUGUUAAUUAAUUAUUGUUUUUAGACUUUGACAUAUUUUUUCUAUUGUGUCUGUUGGGUGUAUCGUGAUUCUUGCAAAUGGAAUACCAAUAAUAAUUGUGAAAUGUUUGCAUUGGAUAAUACCCUGCAAAAUGUGCAACCGCAGCAAAGCCGGCGCGACGACAAAUCUUAAAGAAUAUUCCUUUAAGAUAAAAAACAAUACAAAUUGCAAUAAUCUAACAAAAACUACCAUAACCUAAGAAUACAAAACAAAAGAAAACAAAACAAAACAAAAGGAAAAACGCAACGCAAAAGCAAAACAGAAGCAAAAGAAAAAGAGUUAAGAACACUCAGCCAAAAGUGGAAUAAAAGAAAUUAAGCUUCAAACGUGUCGCGUGUAACGGGACGCAAGAUCCGAGAGAUCCCUUGGGCUUUUUGCUGAGGCGCCUGCAAUUGCGUGUGUGCGUGUCGUACGUGUAGGUGUGUGUGUGCGUGCGAGAGUGCGUUUCUCGUGUGUGUGUGUGUUUUUGUUUUCAUUAGAGCACACACACACGCUCGUGGGCCUGGCUCGUAGAGGUGUGUGUGCAUGUGCGUGUGCCGCCGUAUGCUGGAUUUGCAUGUGUGGGUGUGUGCAUGCUAUGCAUUGCGUGUAAUUGCUGUGCUAACGGUAAAUAAAUGAAAAGCACCGCCAAAAGCACCGCUUAAUGUGCUGCUGCGAGAAACAACAACAACAGCUGUAAACAUAGUGUCGUCUCACUCGGACACACGAAAAAAAAAAACGAAACAUAUGCAAACGAAGGAAUGGAAUGGAGAACAAGGAGGAAUAAAACAGUGAUAUAACAACAACAAAAACAAAAA